rnacentral:other from 1 species
CGUCCUCUGCCUUACGCGACAGCGUACGCUAACAUUCGCCUUGUCCCUUAAUACGACCCCGGGGGUUGAAGUCCAUCGCCGUGUGCAUGUCCGCCACCGAGCGGAAAGCCUGACGCGAGGAUCGACGCCCCCACCUGAUCCUCGGGAUCAAGGUCGUUUCGUAGGCAUCGGUAAAGGCGGAGGAUGC